CUCUGCCGAUUGUUUAAAGAUACUUUGGUUUAGAGUGAAUGAGAAACGAAGGGAACAUGUCGAGUAAUUUAACAACGGAUGGUUCAAUUGAGGACUGUUUCGAGACAUAUAUUGUUUUGAGACCAACGAGUUCAUACACCAUCAAUAGCAUCUUUGGUUGCGUUGUAAACAUAGCAUUUGCUGUGACAGGAAUAUUCCUUAAUGCACUCGUGAUAUGCGUUUUCUGGAAAACACCAAAACUCCGACUUAAAGUAUCAUAUUUCAUGAUAAUGGUGUUGUCAACAAUUGAUCUCUCUGUCUCAAUCAUCGUUCAUCCAUUACACGUGCUUAAUUCCGUAGCUGAAAUCACAGAAACUGCUAAAUGUGGCUAUAAAAUAACCUACCAAACAUCAGCAGUUGUAUUCUCGGGGAUGUCAUUUCUAACGUUCUUUGUUAUGAAUUGCGAGAGAUAUCUAUCAAUCGUACAUCCAUUCUUUCACCGUAACCACGUCACUAAGCGUAGAUGCCUAUUCAUCGCAUCUCUGGCAUGGAUCGGCUGCAUUGUGACUGGAAUUUCACCCGUAUUUGCUUUAAACAUUCAAAGUUUUAUCACUGCACUUGCACUCAUAGUGAUUAUAGGCACUUUCUAUAUAUAUGUCUGUAUUUUUAUCCAGGCUCGAAAACGACAAACCUCUAGAGACAGGUCUAUAAGUGCAGGGACAGACGAGCUUGAUUUUAAUCAAGAGAAUUCAAGAGGGACGACAGAAGCAAUCCAUUCAAAGAAAACAGUUUCAUUCUUACAUGAUAUACAGCUUGCAAAAAUGUACUUAUUUGUAGUGUUGUCAAGUAUUUUUCUGAACCUACCAAACGCUAUUGUACUAGCACUGUUCGGCGACCGUGUGACAACAGUGGAUGGCGUUGUCCAGGUCAAAAUAUGGACUGUAACUUUGGUUGCAAUGAACUCCACAAUGAACUGUAUAAUAUUUUUUUGGUCAAACAAGCGACUGAGAAAAGAAGGCUGGAGAAUAUGUAAGGAACUUUUCAGGAAGCAGUGACUACGCGGAAUGAGUUGCGGAAUGACAUGCGGAAUGAGUUGCAGAAUGACAUGCGGAAUGAGUUGCGGAAUGAAAAAUUACAUGAACUACAUGGAGUAUACAUUAAGAUUCACUAAUGACAAAACGACUUUAUCUAAUAACGCUGGCAGCUCAAUUUUUUUUGUUUUUUAGUUAUGGUAUGUAUUAAAUUAUUAAUGUUGAACUCACUUGAAUGUGAUAUUAAAAUCGUUUGAAUGUGA